rnacentral:rRNA from 1 species
UACGAAGGGGCUAGCGUUGUUCGGAAUUACUGGGCGUAAAGCGCACGUAGGCGGACUAUUAAGUCAGGGGUGAAAUCCCGGGGCUCAACCCCGGAACUGCCUUUGAUACUGGUAGUCUCGAGUCCGGAAGAGGUGAGUGGAAUUCCGAGUGUAGAGGUGAAAUUCGUAGAUAUUCGGAGGAACACCAGUGGCGAAGGCGGCUCACUGGCCCGAUACUGACGCUGAGGCACGAAAGCGUGGGAGCAAACAGGG